rnacentral:rRNA from 1 species
UACGAAGGGGGCUAGCGUUGUUCGGAUUUACUGGGCGUAAAGCGCACGUAGGCGGAUCGUUAAGUCGGGGGUGAAAUCCUGGAGCUCAACUCCAGAACUGCCUUCGAUACUGGCGAUCUUGAGUCCGGAAGAGGUGAGUGGAACUCCUAGUGUAGAGGUGGAAUUCGUAGAUAUUAGGAAGAACACCAGUGGCGAAGGCGGCUCACUGGUCCGGUACCGACGCUGAGGUGCGAAAGCGUGGGGAGCAAACAGG